rnacentral:misc_RNA from 1 species
AGCAGCCGCGGUAAUUCCAGCUCCAAUAGCGUAUAUUAAAGUUGUUGCAGUUAAAAAGCUCGUAGUUGAAUUUCGGGGUUAGUAGGUUGGUCAUGCCUCUGGUAUGUACUGGUCUCACUGAUUCCUCCUUCCUGAUGAACCUUAAUGCCAUUUAUUUGGUGUUUUGGGGAAUUUGGACUGUUACUUUGAAAAAAUUAGAGUGUUUAAAGCAAGCUAACGCUUGAAUACAUUAGCAUGGAAUAAUGAAAUAGGACGUUCGAUCCUAUUUUGUUGGUUUCUAGGAUUGACGUAAUGAUUAAUAGGGAUAGUUGGGGGCAUUAGUAUUCAAUUGUCAGAGGUGAAAUUCUUGGAUUUAUUGAAGACUAACUACUGCGAAAGCAUUUGCCAAGGAUGUUUUCAUUAAUCAAGAACGAAAGUUAGGGGAUCGAAGACGAUCAGAUACCGUCGUAGUCUUAAUCAUAAACUAUGCCGACUAGGGAUCGGAUGAUGUUAAUUUUUUCAAUGACUCAUUCGGCGCCUU